UACAGAGGGGGCAAGCGUUAUUCGGAAUUAUUGGGCGUAAAGGGCGCGUAGGCGGCGAUUCAAGUGACGGGUGAAAUCCCUCGGCUUAACCGAGGAACUGCCUGUCAGACUGGAUUGCUUGAGGCCGGGAGAGGCGAGUGGAAUUCCCAGUGUAGCGGUGAAAUGCGUAGAUAUCUGGAGGAACACCGGUGGCGAAGGCGGCGUUCUGGACUGCAACUGACACUGAGGAACGAAAGCCAGGGGAGCAAACGGG
rnacentral:rRNA from 1 species